GAUAGCUCAACUGUUUAGAGCAUGGUGCUGAUAUAAUGCCAAGGCUGCAGGUUCAAUCCCCGUAUGGGACA